GGGACAGAGGUGGGAGCUCAGUGACACUGAGCUCCUGGCCAAACGUUAGCCAUGAAGAUACUUUACCUUCUUUUUGCUGUCUUCUUCCUGGUGGCGCAAAGCACUGAAGUUGAUGACCGUGGAAUCUUUGGCGCUGGCGUAUGCCUGGGUAGGAGGGGUGCCUGCUUCCUUUUCCAUUGUCCUCUCAAUACGAUGCGUAUCGGCCGCUGUGGUCUGUUUUGGCAUUGCUGUAGGUGCAAUAAGCUUAACUGAUGGCUCCAGAGAUUGUGAAUGCAGGAUCUCUGGGAAUCUGGCAGAGGAUGCCUUGCUUCUGAAAUCAUCGAAGCCUUUUAAUCUGGGCUGUAAACAAUCUUGUGACCUGGAGAAAACCCACAAAGGAGCGCUAGUAUUACCUAUAGUGACUUUAAUAAAAGUAACUUGUUGUGGUUGUGUAUUGUUGAAAUGUGAGUGGUGUGCAGGGGCUUUUUAGCUAUUUCUUUUCCAUAAAAAUUAAUUUCUCUUUUUCCUCUUGA